GACCUGCUGGUGAAUGGUUCACACCCACCCUUUCUUUGCGCCAAUGAAAAAAGUGUAUGGUGGGAGUACUUGGUUCGAUUCCAGGUCAGGUCA